CUAGGUAGAUAGAUGGAGCGAGUGACAGUGUGACGGAAUCAGAACGAAUAAUAAUAGGAAGCGGUAUUAGAGAGAAUGGGUGAGAAAGAGAGAGAGAUCGAUAUAAAUACGGAGAAAAUAGAACAGGAAAUGAACAGUGCGAAAGUAGAAAGAUAGAAAAAUGGUGUGAACUAUGAAAAAACAACCAAAAAGAAGGCAACAGUAUAUCGGCAAAACAAUGCAUUUGUGUAUGUAUGUAUGUAUAUAUCCUCUGCCGUGGUAUAUUUGAUUGCAGUAAUGUUCAGAUUUUUUUUUAUGAACAUCGAAUUAAUAUCGAUACUUAACGUCUACCAAAGAAUAUGACACCAUUCGUGACUAGAUAUCAAACCUUGAAAAUGAUAUCAAAUAAGAGAAAACUUUUUCAAAAGAGAAUAGUAUAUUACACAUUUAUAUAUAUAUAACUGAAAUUCACUAGAUACUCAUUAGGUCUGCAAAUACUAUCCAGUUUCAGAGAUGUGUUUGAAAUAUUAGUAAAAGAAUGAAAACUUUUAAUGUUUACCGGCUAUAUCAUUAAAAUGGAAUGUCAAGUCAAGAAAAACGAGCAUUUUUGACACCUCCUUUUUGCUUAUAAUCAAGGUUCUAAGGCCGCAAAAGCUGCUGAUGACAUCGGUAAACAAGCGACACCACGCGUGCAACAAGAUCUUCAUCCGCGUAAAAUGAUGUCGUGGGCAUGGUGGGACUGGGAAGGGAUUAUCCGUUACUAAUUCCUUGAACGGAACCAAACGGUCAACGCGGAACUCUAUGUUCAAGAGAUGAAAUGACUCAACACGUCUAUUUAAGAGAAAAGUCCUAAUCGUCAGCAUGUAGUUCGUCUGCUGCACGACAACGCCCGCCCUUAUAUCGCUAAUAUGACCAAGGAAGCCAUUCAAAUGCAUGGCUGGGAAGUACUGCCAGACCAGCCGUACUCUCUUGAUUUGGUCUCAACGGAUUUCCACUUCUUUCGAUCUGUUUCAAAUGCUAUGCGUGGAGUUUCGUUCAAUACUGAUGCAGAAUUGAGAGCUUGGUUGGAUCAAUUUUUCGAGUCGAAAUCGGGUGAUUUCUACCAACGAGGUAUUGAAAAUCUUGUUGAAGCUUGGGAAAAAGUUUUAAAUAUAACAAGGGUGAAUACAUUACUGAUUAAUUAGUUGUUAUUUUUAUCAAAUCUUUUAAAAAAUUUUAAUUUAAAACUAACCGUGGUAACUUGGUUGCAAACCCAAUGCUUUAUCUGCUUAAAAAUUUAGAAUUUGCUAAAUGUGUUUCCAAGAGUGUUUCUAAGUUACAUAGACAGUUCAAUUUUAAAUCUCAUGAAGAUUGCAAACUUUCAGCAUUAGGUUUGUUCAAUUUUCAAAUAUGGGAGGUAUUUCAUGUUGUCAGAUACAACAAACAUUUGAAUUAUCUGCAUUUUAUUUUUUAAUUAGGCAAUUCCAACAGAGCAAAAUGGAAAGAAGUUUGUCGAAUUAAUUAUAUUUAAUAACGUGUAAAAAUCAGCAGGAAGCAGAUUAUCUGAUUUUUUUAAAAGAAUUUUUUAUGCCAUAACAUUUUAUUUUCCAUGACAUAAAAUGUACAUCAAUAUACCUUCAUUUAAUGAAUCUUACAAUUGUCUAAAUGACUCCCGUGCACACAUGCCACUCCUCCACGCAAUCACACACCACAUAAUACUUGUUUUCACUUUACUCAGUUGAAUCACAGCAUCAGUUAAUGGUCUGUUUUUUUUUCUGAUUUUGACAUACAUUUAAAAUUAUAACAUUACUCGGCGAAAAUCCACUGACCUCGAAGUUUGUCAAGAUCUCCUUGAAUUUGACGCUGAUGACUCGUCCUUCACGUUGAGGAUGAUCACCGGUGCGCGAGUUGGGUCUAAGCGUAGGAGCCUGAGACACUGCAGCAGUGGUCGCCAUGGAGUACGCUUCAUCUCCAUGACCGACGAAUGCACGACAGUGCUACAUCACAAUCAAGAGUAAUCUCAUCGCUUUUUUUUGACAUCCGCGGUAUUGAGCUGACCCCACCACUAGGCCAAAACGCUUAGUUAGAGUUCUGCCGCGACGUUUUGAGGCGUUUGAAGGAGAACAUUCGACAAAAGCGAUCAGAUCCCGGGGCGGGAAUAAUCGGAAUCCUUAGGAUGACAAUACUUACGGUCACCGAGCUCUCCUCACUCGUCAUUUUCUCGUCAACAUACAACAUGGUAUCGCUUUUGCACCUGACCUAUUCGCCAAAUUUAGAACUUGUGGACUUCCAUGUCGUGCCCAAAAGGAAAAGGAACUCUAUGGUUACCGUUUUAACACCAUUGUCAAGAUCAAGUGCGAAUCUGAGAAAGAACGCGACUCGAUUACGAAAAAAAGAUUUCCAAGCCGGAUUCCAAAAGUGCAGGAACAGUGAGUGGGACCAGAUUAUUGCUACACAAGGUAACUAUUUCGAAAGAAAUUAUGUUAAAACUUAGGGAAAUAAGUUAUUUUUUAUUAAAAAUAACUAGCAGAGCUACCCGACGUUGCUUGAGAGACUAAAAUGGCAUAGUUUCUUUAGUGUUUUACUAGUUUCAAUCAUGUGACUGAGAAAAUAAGAGAGUAACUAAAGAUUGCUACAAUGGAAAAUCGAAACUUGUUUGGGAUACCGGAUCUUUUUUCUUCACUUCCUUUCUUCUCUUCAGCUUCUCCCAACUUCAUAUUCUUUGCCUUCCAGAUUUAUUGUUCUUUUAGUCAUGUAUUUAUUUAUUUUCUUGAUUCUAUUCCACUGCAUUUCCUCUUUUCUAUCUCUGCCUUGUUCGUAGUAAAGAUGUUGUUAAAAU